rnacentral:rRNA from 1 species
UACGAAUGGGGCAAGCGUUGUUCGGAAUCACUGGGCUUAAAGCGUGCGUAGGCGGAUAUGAAAGUCAGAAGUGAAAUCCCAGGGCUUAACCCUGGAAUUGCUUUUGAAACUCCAUAUCUAGAAUCCGGUAGAGGUCAGGAGAAUUCCUAGUGUAGAGGUGAAAUUCGCAGAUAUUAGGAGGAAUACCAGUGGCGUAGGCGCCUGACUGGGCCGGUAUUGACGCUGAGGUACGAAAGCGUGGGGAUCAAACAGG